UUGGCUGGCUACUGCUGUGAGGCGAGAAGUAUCAACAAUCCGUUUCGUUCAGUUUUAGAUUUCACAAGAAAAUUAGACUUAAUCCGUAAAUAAGUGUAUAGUUAUACUGUUUAAAGGAUAUAUUAUUUGUGCUUGAUUGUUGUUGUGUUGUUGAAUCGAUGAUACGAUGGGCUUUAUGUCAUCAUCAUGUACGUCAAUGUUAACAAUAACACAACUCCUUUGUCUAAAUCAUGUUUAUGCAGAUUUUUGCGAAUUUAUGAUUUGUCAUCCAUCUGAGCAGUACUGCUGUGGGGAUAACAAAUGUUGCAAUUACUACAACUAUAGCACAUGGUACUUAUGGGGCAUAGCUGCGCUGAUUGGGCUGUUGUUGGUGGCUUUGUACUACAUCUCCCGUUUAAAUUCCUGCAGGGAUCGGGACCCAGAAAGUGAUAAAGCUCCUAUUGUCAUCAGAUAGGAACCCCAUCCCCAGGAGUUUUGAGUUUAGCAAAUUAGAAUCUGUAAUCUGUCAAUACAAUUGUUGUAAAUGUUUGAUAUAUGAAUAGUAUAUUGUGUACUUAAUAACUGCAAAAGCUCAUACUGUUAAGCUUUAAAAUAAUAUUCUGAUCUUUCUAUUUGUUUUCUAUAAUCUUCAAUCAUAGUCGGUGUAUGAAUUUAUUAAUUGAAUUAUUUUAAACCUAUGAAUUUGUGUUUGUUCAUGACACGUCUCUAGUUUGUAAUGGGCUUGCAAAUAAAUUAUUAAUUUAUUUCAUACUUAUGUAAGCCCAAUACAUUUUUGGAGCCUAAAACCCUCUUUAAAAUAUUUACCUAUUCUGCAUUUAGGCAAUUAAUUAAUUAGAUAAUUUUAUUCUUAAAAAACAAGAUUGUAAGAUUGUACCUUACUUAUCUUUUUAUUUUUGUAAUUUUAACACAGUUGUAUAAUUGAUUUAGGAUGCAACGUAGUAAUGUAUUUAUUUAUAUUCAAUGAUUAUAGUUUGGCAUGUUUACUCUAUAACUUAUACAAUUGAAAUAAUGGCUUUACCUUAAAAUUGAUCAGUCCAAACUUUAUUUUUCCAUGAAAUUUCAUAUUCCGACAAAGACUUUAAUCCCAAAAUGUCAAGUUUCUAUGUACAAUGAUACCAUUCAUUCCAAGUUUAUGUUAAACCAUUACCUGUUAUUAUUGUGGUUUAAGAUUGACUGAUGUAUUAGCUUUAUUCAUAUUUAAAUAAUUUAUUAAAAUUUGCAUUAAUACCUUUUAGCCUACUAUAUUUUAGUGACAACUAUGUCACAUCAUAUCAAACAACGUGCUAUCUUACAGGGACAUUUCCAUUAAACAAAUUAUUGUGUUCUAAUAACAACUGUUUUCCUCCAACUAACUAGGUACUUGUGAAUAAUAUCAAGGCCCCACUAGAAAAACAGGCCAUGCUGCAGGAUCCAUGACGUCACACUAGUGGAUUCAUUGAUAGAUUCACUGCCAUAUCCCAUAUGUUUUUGGUAAAUGAGCUGGCUGUUGUCAGAUUUUAAUGGUAAGAGUUUAGUGUCGUCUAUCCACCACUGUGACAUAGUCAGUGGCGGACUUACCUACGGCGCCGCCUUGGGUUUCGCGAAAAAAAAAGGUUUCAACGUAUAAGCGAGAUUAAAUUUCCCGUUGUUGGCUUAUACGUUGGGUUAUACGUUCCCGCUUAUUAAUGCAUUAUUCCAAGAAAGACAUAGUACAAUAUGAGUACAUUAUAUUAAAGUUGUAUGUAUAUGUUUUAAGAAAAACAUAUAUUUUGUGGUUGAGGCAAGAAUGAAUAUGAAUAGCCCAAAUUAAUCGCCGGACGUAUUGCCGUUCUUGAUUUUAAAUUUAGCAUUCAAAACAGCUUACAAUAAUUUUACUUAUAAUGAACUGUGUUGUCACAUCUUCAUAUGAGUUGUGUAUAUAAUCUUAUAAUGUAACAUUUAACUUCAACUUUAAAGAAAUAGAGGGGCCCUUUAUUUAUUUUAUGUUUAGGAUCUUACUCAAAACACAAUUUUAUCUGAUUAGAUUUCACGAUUCUAUGCAGUUAUUUGUUAUACUGUUACAAUUUAUGCAUUAAAUAAAUAAAUUGUACAAGUAUAAGUACGGCUUUUUGGAUAUUAUGACUGUCGGCCAGGCGCCCCUAGGCAUGUGCCUAGUCCGCCUUACGGUAAGUCCACCACUGGACGUAGUGUUGUGUUGCAGCAUGGCCUGUUUUUCUAGUGACCCCUUAAUAAUAUGACCAGCUGUUUUGUUUUUAUCAAAAUCCAGCCGCACAACACCCAGGCAUUCCCCCCAGGAAUUCCUUAUAAGUCAUUUGAUUUAAUGGAAAUGCACCUUAUAAAGAUUGAAAAAUCAUAGACAACAUAAUUAAAUAUAGACUGACAAAGGAAGGUUCCGCGAUGUGCUGCUAGAGCUUGCUCAGUGUUCCGUCGAUUUGCUGCCGUCGUCAACUCGCCAUCUGCUACCAGCACUACCACCCUUGCAAACAAAAUGCUACCAACGUAUCAGAUCCACUGUUCAAUAUGGGUAAAGUACAAAAUCCCGUAACUUAAACAAAAAAGACGUUUUUUUCCCCAGAAAUUUUAAACACGCAGAAAAAUAACAGAACAAACUCCAACUCCCCGGAUUCCUGGGAAUUCUCCAGAAGUUGGUAACACUGGCUCCAACUACCAAGUUGUCAUGGCAACGCUUGCUAGCACUUGAUACUGCAGCAGAAUGCGCUGAAACUAAACGGCACUCCUAACGGUGGACGCGAAAAUAUAUGCUAACUGCAGCACUGCUGUCAGUCUAUAUUUCUUUAAUUCUUAUUUUGUCUAUGGUAAAACACACUUAGGCAACUUAACUUAUCUCUAUUAGUACAAAUGAGAUUAUCUACCUGUAUCCAACUACUCUGUAUCCCGGUUAUAUUGUAGACUCUAGUUUGUUGUUAACUGUUAGUGAAAAUGUUGUAAACCUAGUGCCUUGUAAAUGUCCAUGUUCCUUAACAUAGCCAAACAUAGGUUUCAUUACUCACUAGUUUUCAUAUCAGACACAGUUUUAAGGUUCAUUUUCAAUAUUUAGAUUAGCAGGAAAGUUUUUUUAUAAUUGACUUAUUUAGUGGCGUUUCACAAUUAUUUUAGAUUGAUAUUGGGUGGUUGUAGAAAAAAAUUGAAUAUUUAUUUAUGUGAAGGUAUGUAGGGGCGCGUCUCAGAAGGUCCCUACUUACUAGUAACAUCCGAACAAUCCCAUUGUAAUACCAUUGUAGUAACCAUUUGAAGGUUUCAGACAGCAAUCUUGCCAAAUCUCCGUCAGCCUGGACUAAUUUUUGACCCCGCCUCAUCUAAUUCAGGCCUGCCUCUCCAUCACUUCUGUUAUCAGUUUCUUAAGAAGUAUUUGUUGUUUUGUUUAAAUUUCUCAGUGUUUGUGAGCGGAAAUCUAAGAAUCCAAGUAAGUACAGUAAAACCUCUUAACUCAAUAAUUUGCGGUCCCAGAGGUCGUCGAGUUAUCCAGAAUAUUUUAAUAGGUUUUAAUAAAUCAUAACAGUAUAAUUUUUACAGAUAAAUUUAUUUAUUACUUACAUGAGUAUUUUUACAUAUUUAGUAAACAAUCUUCAAAGAAAUGUCGAAUAUUAAACAAUUAAAACUAAAUGUUCUGAAAUAAAUUGCUUUUUGCGUGCGCCCUGUCAGCUGUUUAGUUAACGAGUGUCGUGUUAGUGAGGUUUAACCUUUGACUAUUAAUACAACAAAUAGUCAAUGGUUUAACUGUACAUGAAAAAUGGUAACCUAAUUAUUUGGUUGGCAAGAUCUUUACCCACAAAUAUUCAUCCGAAAUAUUACUUAUUUUUAAAUUUUAAUUGAUAGCAAGGGCUGAUAUGUCAGGGUCUCAGAAUUUCAGUCUCGGUGUAAGUGGUACAGUUUCGACCCGCAGCAAUAACUACAACAAUUUUAGAGGUGUGGCUUUCCCUGAGGGCUGGUGUAGUGGUUAUAGCGUGCGACUUCAGUCCCGGGUUCAAAUCCCGCCAAAUCACCAAUGGAUUUAUCUAAGUGAUAAUGCCGCAACCCCUAGGUCUAGCCUGAAGUAAUGUGAAAAACAAUCCCGGGCUUGUGCCUAGCAUCCUAGGACAAAAAAAAUUAUCAAGUCGAUGGCGCCUUAUAAAGGCGCAUAACAGCCGGAAAGAGGGAGUUUGUAUGUGCGAGUUCUGUGACACUAAACUCAUUGCACUGGCCUGUGCUGGUUGUUCAUUAUUUUUUCUUUCUACUCUUUUUGAAAACCUCUUAUCAUUAAUGUUAAAUGUUGAUCUUAGGGAUAGCAUAUUUAGGACCUAAAUUAGUUUAGUUAAGUACAGGGUGAUAUAAAUAAUAGUGUUUAACAUUUUAAGUUUAAAUAUGAAAUUUUUUUAAACUAUAUGAGUCUAGUUUUUAAAAUAAAUAUGGACGACAAAUUGACCAUUAGAAAUUUGGAUUCAUCAGUGGGUAUGAUGACAAAUUUAUCCCAAAUAAUUAUUUAUUUUGUUAGGUACUUUCCUAUUAAAGAGAACAUUCAUUUACAGUAGACUCCCUCUUAUUCGGACACCUUUUAACCGGACAUCGGUUUAACCGGACUACAUUCGGCGGAAAUGAAAUCUCUUUAACUGGACAAUUUUUAUCAGCACAUUGGUUUAACCGGACUAGAUCAGCAGGAAGUGGGCGGUACUGAAACGACUAUUCUCGUGGGAAAGAAUUGAGACCAGGGACGUAUCUAAGUACAAUGCUGUCCUAAAUUUAAGUUGAAUAUCACAGUAAACGGUCCGUUUUAACGAGUUUUUGGGGACGUCGGUUUAACAGGAAGAACUGUUAUCCGGACUGGUCUCGGUCCCGACGAGUCCGGAUAAGAGGGAGUCUACUGUAUCGAUGAUUUUUAUUUUCCGAUCCAUUACAAAUUGACAACAACUAACUGAUCUUGUUUAGGCUAAAAUAGUCUAUUAUAUGGAUUAAGAAAUGAAACUAUUCUAAGCUAACCUAACAUAACCAACCAAACUUGCUGGACCAUUUAAAAAUUCCGUUUGGGUUUGAUAAGAGAAAAGGCAAGUUAAACACGGAAUGUUUAAAUGUUAUAGCAAGUUUGGUUAGUUAUGUUAGGUUAUUUUUUUUAGAACAGUUUCAUUUCAUUAUUGUUCGUUGAUACUGAACAAUAUUUAUCGCGUAGUUGUCAGCUGAUAUGUUUCAAUUUGUUAAUAUCGAUAUAUCAAGAAAAAAUCAUCAAUAAUAAUGAAUUUUCCGAACAUUCAUUAUUAUGUGCCCUUUAACAGGAAAGUACCUUUUAUUAGUAGUCAACUUUAGUAAUUGCAAUGUUUUAUAUUUACUGUUUGUUCGUUUUCACAUUUGCAACCUUUGGUGGCUUCUACUUGUAAUUAUAGGAGCUCCACUAAAGACAAACAUCCUAGCCACAGUAGUAAAUAUUUCUCGUACCGGUAAUUGAUAUGUAUAAUGAAUUGUGCAUUCUUUUAUGAAAAUUAAAAUCUACAGCUAAUCAAUAUCCAUCCAUAAAUUUUCAAAAAUAAUCUAGUCUAUUUGCAAAAAUCAUACUUUUGUCUGUUGUUUUUUAUCAACCUGUGAUAGUUAACUUUUUGUUCCUAACUUAUUAAGUUGUUUUUUUAAGAUAUUUUAAUCUAACAACUGCAUUCCUGUGCUACAUUAAGACAUUAGAGAUAUUAUUUGAAUUAUAUAAAUGUAUUUGUUGUGCAUUAAAAAUGUAUUCUGUGAUAA